UACGUAGGGUGCAGGCGUUGAUCGGAAUUACUGGGCGUAGAGCGUGCGCAGGCGGUCUGCUAAGAGAGAUGUGAAAUCCCCGGGCUUAACCUGGGAACUGCGUUUCUAACUGGCAGGCUAGAGUGUGGCAGAGGGGGGUGGAAUUCCACGUGUAGCAGUGAAAUGCGUAGAGAUGUGGAGGAACACCGAUGGCGAAGGCAGCCCCCUGGGCUAACACUGACGCUCAUGCACGAAAGCGUGGGGAGCAAACAGG
rnacentral:rRNA from 1 species